rnacentral:rRNA from 1 species
GAUGAACGCUAGCGGCAGGCUUAACACAUGCAAGUCGAGGGGUAUAGGUUUUCGGACCUAGAGACCGGCGCACGGGUGCGUAACGCGUAUGCAAUCUACCUUUCACAGAGGGAUAGCCCAGAGAAAUGUGGAUUAAUAGCUCAUAGUAUUAUGAAGUGCCAUCAUUUUACAAUUAAAGUUCCAACGUUGAAAGAUGAGCAUGCGUCCCAUUAGCUAGAUGGUAAGGUAACGGCUUACCAUGGCGACGAUGGGUAGGGGUACUGAGAGGGAGAUCCCCCACACUGGUACUGAGACACGGACCAGACUCCUACGGGAGGCAGCAGUGAGUAAUAUUGGUCAAUGGACGCAAGUCUGAACCAGCCAUGCCGCGUGCAGGAUGACGGUCCUAUGGAUUGUAAACUGCUUUUGUACGAGAAUAAACACUCCUUCGUGAAGGAGCUUGACGGUAUCGUAAGAAUAAGGAUCGGCUAACUCCGUGCCAGCAGCCGCAGUAA